AACGAACGCUGGCGGCAUGCCUAACACAUGCAAGUCGAACGAGACCUUCGGGUCUAGUGGCGCACGGGUUCGUCACGCGACGGAACCUUCCCAUAGGGUCGGAAUAACUCCACGAAAGGGGUGCUAAUACCGGAUAAUGUCUUCUGACCAAAGAUUUAUCGCGUUUGGAUGGGCAGGCGUUGGAUUAGCUAUUUCGUAGGGUAAAAGCCUACCAAGGGGAGGAUCAAUAGCUGGGUUGAGAGGAUGAUUACCCACACUGGGAUGAAGAAACGGCCCGGACUCUUACGGGAGGCAGCAGUGGGGAAUAGAGGACAACGGGGGAAGUCCUGAACCAGCAAUGCCGCGUGAGUGAUGAAGGCCGUAGAGUUGUAAAGCUCUAUUACCCGGGAUGAUAAUGACAGUACCGGGAGAAUAAGCUCCGGCUAACUCCGUG
rnacentral:rRNA from 1 species